GUACGGGCAGACUAGAGUGCGGUAGGGGAGAUUGGAAUUCCUGGUGUAGCGGUGGAAUGCGCAGAUAUCAGGAGGAACACCGAUGGCGAAGGCAGAUCUCUGGGCCGUAACUGACGCUGAGGAGCGAAAGGGUGGGGAGCAAACAGGCUUAGAUACCCUGGUAGUCCACCCCGUAAACGUUGGGAACUAGUUGUGGGGUCCAUUCCACGGAUUCCGUGACGCAGCUAACGCAUUAAGUUCCCCGCCUGGGGAGUACGGCCGCAAGGCUAAAACUCAAAGGAAUUGACGGGGACCCGCACAAGCGGCGGAGCAUGCGGAUUAAUUCGAUGCAACGCGAAGAACCUUACCAAGGCUUGACAUAUACGAGAACGCUGCAGAAAUGUAGAACUCUUUGGACACUCGUAAACAGGUGGUGCAUGGUUGUCGUCAGCUCGUGUCGUGAGAUGUUGGGUUAAGUCCCGCAACGAGCGCAACCCUCGUUCUAUGUUGCCAGCACGUAAUGGUGGGAACUCAUGGGAUACUGCCGGGGUCAACUCGGAGGAAGGUGGGGAUGACGUCAAAUCAUCAUGCCCCUUAUGUCUUGGGCUUCACGCAUGCUACAAUGGCCGGUACAAAGGGCUGCAAUACCGUAAGGUGGAGCGAAUCCCAAAAAGCCGGUCCCAGUUCGGAUUGAGGUCUGCAACUCGACCUCAUGAAGUCGGAGUCGCUAGUAAUCGCAGAUCAGCAACGCUGCGGUGAAUACGUUCCCGGGUCUUGUACACACCGCCCGUCAANNCNNNAAAGUCGGUAACACCUGAAGC
rnacentral:rRNA from 1 species